rnacentral:rRNA from 1 species
UACGGGGGGGGCAAGCGUUGUUCGGAAUUACUGGGCGUAAAGCGCACGUAGGCGGCUUUGUAAGUUAGAGGUGAAAGCCCGGGGCUCAACUCCGGAACUGCCUUUAAGACUGCAUCGCUUGAAUCCAGGAGAGGUGAGUGGAAUUCCCAGUGUAGAGGUGAAAUUCGUAGAUAUUCGCAAGAACACCAGUGGCGAAGGCGGCUUACUGGUCCGGUUCUGACGCUGAGGCGCGAAAGCGUGGGGAGCAAACAGG